rnacentral:rRNA from 1 species
AUUGAACGCUGGCGGCAGGCCUAACACAUGCAAGUCGAGCGAGCGGCGGACGGGUGAGUAAUGUAUGGGGACUGCCCGAUAGAGGGGGAUAACUACUGGAAACGGUGGCUAAUACCGCAUACUAUCGGAUAACCCAUAUGGGAUUAGCUAGUAGGUGGGGUAACGGCUCACCUAGGCGACUAUCUCUAGCUGGUCUGAGAGGAUGAUCAGCCACAAUGUGACUGAGACACGGCCAAGACUCCUACGGAGGAAGCAGUGGGGAAUAUUGCAAAAUGGGCGCAAGUCUGAUGACACCAUGCCGCGUUUAUGAAGAAGGCCUUAGGGUUUUAAAGUACUUUCAGCGGGGAAGCGUUACCCGCAUAAGAAGCACCGGCUAACUCCGUGCCAGCAGCCGCGGUAAUAC